UCGGCCGCCGCUUCCUCGGGGAUGCUCUGGGAAAGCUCCAGCACAAAGGAGCGGCGCGGCGGGCAGGAGCCAGCGGAAGCGGAGCCCCCCAGCCCCAGCCCGGCCCCCCGGGAGCAGAAUCCUCAUCAAGAAUAGGACUCCUGCCAGGUAAAUGGAUUCUUGCCUGAUUUUUCAAUGCUCCUGGGAGGAUUUGUAGCCAAAAAUGCUGGCUUAGUGCUUUGUCUCGAAGCCCCCAUUUUCUCCUAAAGCUGAUGGUCCCAGGCGGGGGUUAGAGGCGAGGCAGGGCCAGCAGCCCCAGGGCACAGCCCAGCCCUUCCCUCCCCUCCGCAGAUGUUAACCUGGCAGAUGCUCUUCUUGCGGAGCCAUUUUCUCUCCCUCAUUGUCUCGCAGCCUUUUGUGUGUGCGGGUAGGUCCUGCCCUGCGAGCCAGGAGGAGCCCAGAAAUAAUCGGAUUUUCAGGCUUUGCGGGCUGGCAAGGAACCUUUCACACGCUGACACCCCUUUUCUGCCAGGGCUGCAGACAAAGGCAGCAGUGCCUGGCACCCCUGCAGCAGCACCGGAGCCUGGGCUGUGCUGGAUGGCAGCGAGGGUCGGGCAGAGCUGGCAGAGCACAGGGCCGGGGUCUUUGCCCACCCUGAUCUGGCGGCUCAGGGUGCCCGGAUGCCACAUGCCAGAGAUCAUCUCUCUGGGAUCUGUUGUGCCCUCAUCUCCCUGCUCCUGCCCGCAGUGGAGCUUCUGCUCCUCUUCCUCCCUCUCUCCCCACUCGAGGAGGGGGUUUAGCCCCAUUUAACUCGGGUGUCCAGCCCCAGGGCCACUGUAUGUGCCACCCACGAGUGUGGCAGAGGCAGCUCAAGCCCAUGCCCAAGACGAGUCUGCCCAAAAUUGUUUUUCCCUCCCUGCCCCUUGGGAUGUUCAUUCCCAGGCCGCAGAGGCCAUCCCGCCCCAGCACAGGCGCCUCCCGCCCAGAUCCAGCUGGGGAUCCGUGUGCCAGAUGCUCGGUGCCAUCUCCACAGCCCAUUCCCGCUGCUCCCACCGCGGCUGGGCUGCAAACGCCACCAGGACGUGCUGUCCCCACGGCUGGGACUGUCCUGCCGGCACUGCGGUGACAGCGAGCUGUGAGAAGCAGGAGCGGCUCCAGCUGAACUGCAGAGUCAUCACAGCCCCGAUCCCCCGGGACCCGCUGCUGUCCUGGUCUGCCCGGGCAGGCAGGGCAGGGCAGGGCAGGGCACAGCCACGGGCUGGAUGAUGCCACAUGUCCCCAAGUCCCCGAGGAGAUGGAGCAGCAGCCACCACAGCACUUCUGUGAUAACCAGUUGACCCAGUUUAACCAGUGCCUGUGGAACCACAGGGUCCCAGACUCAGUUUGCCCCACGGCAGGGGCAGAGGUGGCAGCAGAAGUGGCAGUGGCAGUGGCAAUCAGUCCCUGAUUACCUCACUGGAGGCAGCAGGGACACUUUGGGGCAUUGCCACCAUUUCUGGUGUGGUGGUUCCAAUGUGCCCCCCCUGUGCCUGGCUCAGCUCCUUCAGCCUUCAAGGGGACAGGGACAGGAAGGUCUGUGCCCAACCCUCCUGCCAGGCUCCUGCCAGGGCCCUGCCUGAGGACGGUGCCCUGUUUCUCUCCCUUUGCUGCGUUGGUUGUUUCUUUUGCAGCUGCUAAUGACUGACCUGAGGUCUGUUCACACAGUCCCCUCGCUGCCCCACAGAGCCACGUGGAACAGGGGACAUUGCACAGCACUCCUGUAGCUGGUGACCACAGUGCCACCACCCCAGGGGCAUGGCCCAGCUCCUGCCUGGCCAGACUGACCAUGUCCAGAGGGGAGCCAGGCUCGGGAGCUGCCAUCACCACCAGGACACGAUGCCAGAGCCGGGCUGGCCCCAGCAGAGCACCCUGGUACCCUCUGCCGUGGCGUGGAGCCACCAGCCCGGCCACUGCGGGGGACAUGGCCCAGGAGAUGGCUCUGGUGACACCUGAGGACACGGGGCUGAGCAUGCACACGGUUCUCCUGCAAGGUGCUGAGGUGUCCCUGCCUCCCACUGCUGCCCCCAGGCCUGUCCCCUGCCCUGAGCACAGAGCAGGAGGAGGGAGAAGGAAAAGGGAGUGGGGGCAGAGCUGUGCCAGCUCCUCAUGGUGACACGACGGGCACAGAGCCCACAGGGGCUCUGUUUGUCCCCACUGACCCUGCCCUUCCCUCUGGCUUUCUGGAACACCUGGGGUGUGGAGCCUGGGCAGUGAAUCCUGCUGCCAUGGCCUCUGCAGUGCCCUGUGAGGGUGGGACCCUGUCCUUACCAAGCACCACUCGGGCCCGUGUCCCCACACAGGGACAAGGACAGGCUGCAGUGGGCUGGGGGCACACACAGCUCGUGGCAGGUGUUACAGCCUUGAAGUCCAAACUGGAAAAGUGUCUCUUGGGGACCAGAGGAGCUCGUGCUGUGGGAGGAGGUGACCCAGAGGCACACAGGGCAGAGGCUUUCCUGAGUGCCCCAUCCCAGCCCUGUUUCCUGGGGCACAGUGCAGCCCUUGGAGCAUUGCUCAGCCCCAUGGAGAGGCAGCUCCUGAUGGGGAGGGGGUAAAAUGUGGGUCACCUUUGCUGCAUGGUGGCUUUCCCUGCUGGACCUGCACGUGCAGUGGGAGCUGGGGCAGCCCUGGAGCAGCUCCGUGCUCUCUGCUGCAGCCUUACCCCAGAUACCAGCAGUGAUUCUUUCACUCUUCCUCCUCUGCUUCUUGAGCUCCUUUGGGGUCCUUUAGGCACUGCUGGGGCUGUGUUCUCCAUGCAUCCUGUCUCUCACCUUUCCCAGCACCAGGGGUGGGAAGCCCAUGUUGUGAGGGGCCUCUGGUACCUCCCUGGCAGGGAUCAGAGGGGCAGGAGCCUGCUGAGCAUUUCAUUCAGGGACAGGUUCUGCUACACCAGCUAAACCCUCCACUAACACCUCCCCAAAUACCAAAACCGCCUCCUGCUCUUGUGAGCCAGAGCUCUGCUGCUGGCAGGCCUGGCUCUGCAUGCUGCCAAUAUUAACCUACUAACCUGCUGGGCCCCCUGUGCCCUCCCUGGGGCUGCCACAGCCCCUGGCACACGGACUAACCCACUAACCAGCCCAGCGCAUGCCCUACUAACCCACAGCAGCCCUGCCUCGUGCCCACUAACCACGGCAGCAGCGCUGCCUUUAAAGGGGAACAGAAAAGCUGGGAAAAGGCUUUGGAGGUGUCAGUGCCAGGCUGCACAGGCAGGGGCUGGCAGGGACAGCCCUGCAGAGAGGACUGGCUGCCCAGGAGUGGUGUUGGCAGCUCCUGCAUGUGCAGGCAGCUCCAGUUCUGGGCAGGGAAGGGGACUGCUGGUCCCUGGGCAGGAGAAGGGAGCAGCAUCCCCUGCUCUGGGCAGGAAAGGGAACCAGCAGUCCCUUCCCCAGGCAGGAAAGGGAAGCAGCAGCCCUUGGCCCGAGCAGCCCUCGGCAGCACGAGGAGAGGAGAGGAGGGGAGAGGAGAGGAGA